AUGGGACGGGAACGGGAGCGGGAGCGGGCUGUGCCGGGAAUGGGACAAGACUGGGAGUGGGGCUGGGAGCUGGGCUGGGCCGGGAAUGGGAACAGGGCUGGGUGCGGGGUUGAGAGAGGGGCUGGGAGCGGGACUGGGACAAAACUGGGAGCGGGAUUGGGAGCGGGACUGGGGCCGGGCUGCGACAAGACUGGGAGCGGGGCUAGGAGCGGGAUUGGGAGGGGGAAUAGGAGCGGGAUUGGGAGCACGGCUGGGACAGGACUGGGAGCGGGAUUGGGUGCGGAGCUGGGACCGGGCUGGGACAAGACUGGGAGCGGGGCUGGGAGCGGCCCGGUCCCGGCACAGCCCCGGCUCGCAGCGAGCGGAGCUCGGGGCUCGGGGCCGCGUCCCGUCCCGUCCCAGCCCCGACACGUGAUGGGGCCGGGGAGCGCCGAGGGUCCGGCGGGACGGGGCGGGGGUGUGACAGGGAGAACGCACAGCCAGCCCGGGGACUUUCACCCGUCCUGCAAAAAAGAUGGGGUUUUCUUUCCUGCCCCCCCGCCGUGGGACACCAGCCUUGGCAUGCCAGGAGAAAUGUGUGACUUUGGGCAGAACCCUGCUGUGCCUCCACCCUCAGGCUGGAUGCUCCUCUGGAGCUGGUGAUCACCAAAUGUGGCCAGAACUUCAGCGACCCCUGUUCUUACUACUGCAAGUCUGUGGGCAGCUGCCAGGAUGUGGCUCCUUUGGGAACAGCAGAGGGGAGACAGUGACCCAGACAGCAGGACAGCUCCUCAAUGCUGAACCUAGCUUUGAAGUGAACAGCAAAAUAAACAGAUCUUUUCCUUUGAGACAAUUUUGUAUCAGGGUAUCCUGUCAGGUUUGCUUCUAUCAGAUGCCUCAUGACAAAGUAUAUCUGGUGAGCAUUUUAACUUCACUCUCCUAUUUGUUAUCAUCUGUUUGGACACUGCAGGUCAGCUAUGCAAAAAAAAUUAUUCAAAUUCUCCUUUGGAUCUUUUAUUCCUUCUGGCAGACUGAAUGGAGACUCCUUCAAAUCUGAAACAUGGUUAAAAUUACAAAAACAAUCUGUACCAGAAAAAAAACCCUCUUAGAUGUCUUCCU
rnacentral:lncRNA from 1 species